rnacentral:rRNA from 1 species
AGCAGCCGCGGUAAUUCCAGCUCCAAUAGCGUAUAUUAAAGUUGCUGCAGUUAAAAAACUCGUAGUUGAAUUUCGGGACCGAUAUAUCGGUCGUGCCUCGGUACGUACUGGUAUUUUCGGUUUCUACCUUCUGACGAACCUUGAUGUCAUUAAUUUGGUGUCUUGGGGAAUCAGGACUGUUACUUUGAAAAAAUUAGAGUGUUUAAAGCAGGCUCACGCUUGAAUACAUUAGCAUGGAAUAAUGAAAUAGGACGUUUGAUUCUAUUUUGUUGGUUUCUAGGAUCGACGUAAUGAUUAAUAGGGAUAGUUGGGGGCAUUAGUAUUCAAUUGUCAGAGGUGAAAUUCUUGGAUUUAUUGAAGACUAACUACUGCGAAAGCAUUUGCCAAGGAUGUUUUCAUUAAUCUAAGAACGAAAGUUAGGGAUCGAAGACGAUCAGAUACCGUCGUAGUCUUAACCAUAAACUAUGCCGACUAGGGAUCGGAUGAUGUUUAAUUUUUAUGUACUCAUUCGGCGUCCGUU